rnacentral:rRNA from 1 species
GAUGAACGCUGGCGGCGUGCUUAACACAUGCAAGUCGAACGGAAAGGCUCCUGCUUGCAGGGGUACUCGAGUGGCGAACGGGUGAGUAACACGUGGGUGAUCUGCCCUGCACUUCGGGAUAAGCCUGGGAAACUGGGUCUAAUACCGGAUAGGACGAUGGUUUGGAUGCGAUUGUGGAAAGUUUUUCGGUGUGGGAUGAGCUCGCGGCCUAUCAGCUGGUUGGUGGGGUAAUGGCCUACCAAGGCGUCGACGGGUAGCCGGCCUGAGAGGGUGUACGGCCACAAUGGGACUGAGAUACGGACCAGACUCCUACGGGAGGCAGCAGUGGGGAAUAUUACACAAUGGGCGCAAGCCUGAUGCAGCGACGCCGCGUGGGGGAUGACGGCCUUCGGGUUGUAAACUCCUUUCGCUAGGGACGAAGCGCAAGUGACGGUACCUGGAGAAGAAGCACCGGCUAACUACGUG